GCUCCAUGGGGUGUAUUGCACCUGAUUCAUCUCUGGGACUUCAGGACCCAGACCCAAUCUACGGAUGAAGUCUCACCCUUAGAGCUUGAAAGUCCCCUCUUCACCAUCUCCCUUGGCUGGUACGGAACCAUUGCAAGAGGAGGCCUUGCUAAUAACCUCUUGCCCCGGAAAAUAGCAGUUAACUGCAAUUUGAGAACAGACACCACUUGCCUAACAGAAGUUCACUUAACAAAACUCCAAAAUGAAUAGGGGUAAAUGAGAGGGAAUGGCAUUUGUGAGGCACCUCUCCCGAGGCCUGGGAGCAGUGCUGGGCAAGUCCACGGACAUUUUCACAUUUCAUCCAAUGAGCCAUCGCGACAAUGCCACAAUGGAGGUAUAAUUAUCCCCCGUGGGACAACAAAGACUCUGAGGCCCAGAGUGGUUGUGUAACUCUCUCCUGGUCACAGGAUCUGCCUGGCAAACCUCAGCUGCUCGGGGCGCACUUAAAACCUGGACAUGUGGAGGCCAGAGACUGCGCUGGAACAAGCCAGCAUC